GGGUAAUGGGGCAGCAGGUAGCCUAGUGGUGGUUAGAGUGUAGAGGAGGCAGGUAGCCUAGUGGUGGUUAGAGUGUAGAGGAGGCAGGUAGCCUAGUGGUGGUUAGAGUGUAGAGGAGGCAGGUAGCCUAGUGGUGGUUAGAGUGUAGAGGAGGCAGGUAGCCUAGUGGUGGUUAGAGUGUAGAGGAGGCAGGUAGCCUAGUGGUGGUUAGAGUGUAGAGGAGGCAGGUAGCCUAGUGGUGGUUAGAGUGUAGAGGAGGCAGGUAGCCUAGUGGCGGUUAGAGUGGAGAGGAGGCAGGUAGCCUAGUGGCGGUUAGAGUGGAGAGGAGGCAGGUAGCCUAGUGGCGGUUAGAGUGGAGAGGAGGCAGGUAGCCUAGUGGCGGUUAGAGUGGAGAGGAGGCAGGUAGCCUAGUGGCGGUUAGAGUGGAGAGGAGGCAGGUAGCCUAGUGGCGGUUAGAGUGUAGAGGAGGCAGGUAGCCUAGUGGCGGUUAGAGUGUAGAGGAGGCAGGUAGCCUAGUGGCGGUUAGAGUGUAGAGGAGGCAGGUAGCCUAGUGGCGGUUAGAGUGUAGAGGAGGCAGGUAGCCUAGUGGCGGUUAGAGUGUAGAGGAGGCAGGUAGCCUAGUGGCGGUUAGAGUGUAGAGGAGGCAGGUAGCCUAGUGGCGGUUAGAGUGGGGAGGAGGCAGGUAGCCUAGUGGCGGUUAGAGUGGAGAGGAGGCAGGUAGCCUAGUGGUUAGAGUGUAGAGGUGGCAGGGUAGCCUAGUGGUUAGAGUGUAGCGGUGGCAGGUAGCCUAGUGGUUAGAGUGUAGAGGGGCAGGUAGCCUAGUGGUUAGAGUGUGGAGGAGGCAGGUAGCCUAGUGGUUAGAGUGUAGCGGUGGCAGGUAGCCUAGUGGUUAGAGUGUAGCGGUGGCAGGUAGCCUAGUGGUUAGAGUGUAGGGGGGGGCAGGUAGCCUAGUGGUUAGAGUGUUGGACUAGUAACCGGAAGGUUGCAAGAUAGAAUCCCCAAGCUGACCAGGUACAAAUCUGUCGUUCUGCCCCUGAACAGGCAGUUAACCCACUGUUCCUAGUCCAGUUAACCCACUGUUCCUAGUCCAGUUAACCCACUGUUCCUAGUCCAGUUAACCCA